UGCUAUUCGUUUCCCCAGAUUGUUGUG
rnacentral:piRNA from 1 species